UGAUGACGAGACGCUAAGGCGUUGAAGUGGUGUAUGUCAGGCUUCCAAGAAAAGCUCGCAAUGUCAUAGAUAAAAAUGCCUGUACCAUAACCGACACAGGUGGGUAGGUAGAGUAUACUAAGGGGCGCGAGAUAACUCUCUCUAAGGAACUCGGCAAAAUGACUCCGUAACUUCGGGAGAAGGAGUGCCUUAUUUAUAAGGUUGCAAUAACAAGAUCCAAGCAACUGUUUAUCAAAAACACAGGUCUCCGCUAAGUCGUAAGACGAAGUAUGGGGGCUGACGCCUGCCCAGUGCCAGAAGGUUAAAGAAGUUGGUUAGUGUAAGCGAAGCUGAUAACUGAAGCCCUGGUGAACGGCGGCCGUAACGAUAACGGUCCUAAGGUAGCGAAAUUCCUUGUCGGGUAAGUUCCGACCCGCACGAAAGGCGUAAUGAUUUGGAUACUGUCUCGGAGAGAGGCUCGGUGAAAUAGACUUGUCUGUGAAGAUGCGGACUACCUGCACCAGGACAGAAAGACCCUAUGAAGCUUUACUGUAACUUGAAAUUGGAAUUGGACUUUGCUUGCGCAGUAUAGGUGGGAAGCGUUGAAGAUACUCUUGCGGGACUAUUGGAGCUAUCAGUGAGAUACCACUCUUGUAAUGUUAGAUUUCUAACUUUGAACCAUAAUCUGGUCAAAGAACAGUUUCAGGCGGGCAGUUUGACUGGGGCGGUCGCCUCCUAAAUGGUAACGGAGGCGUACAAAGGUUUCCUCUGAACGGAUAGAAAUCGUAUCUAGAGUGUAAAGGCAUAAGGAAGCUUGACUGUGAGACCUACAAGUCGAGCAGGGACGAAAGUCGGUCUUAGUGAUCUGACGGUACUGAGUGGAAAGGCCGUCACUCAACGGAUAAAAGUUACUCUAGGAUAACAGGCUGAUCUCCCCCAAGAGUUCACAUCGACGGGGAGGUUUGGCACCUCGAUGUCGGCUCAUCGCAUCCUGGGGCGGUAGUACGUCCCAAGGGUUGGGCUGUUCGCCCAUGAAAGCGGUACGCGAGCUGGGUUCAGAACGUCGUGAGACAGUUCGGUCCAUAUCCGGUGUAGGCGUUAGAAUAUUGAGAGGAGCCUUCUUUAGUACGAGAGGACCGAGAAGGACACACCGCUGGUGUACCAGUUAUCGUGCCAACGGUAAACGCUGGGUAGCUAUGUGUGGAGAGGAUAACCGCUGAAAGCAUCUAAGUGGGAAGCCCACCUCAAGAUGAGUAUUCUCAU
rnacentral:rRNA from 1 species